CGCGUAGGCGGGAUGGCAAGUCGGUCGUGAAAUCCCUCGGCUCAACCGAGGAGCGUCGAUCGAAACUGCCGUUCUUGAGGGUUGCAGAGGAGACUGGAAUUCCCGGUGUAGCGGUGAAAUGUGUAGAGAUCGGGAGGAACACCGGUGGCGAAGGCGGGUCUCUGGGCAAUUCCUGACGCUGAGGCGCGAAAGCGUGGAGAGCAAACGGGAUUAGAUACCCCGGUAGUCCACGCUGUAAACGAUGACGACUAGGUGUGGGGGGGUUCAGUCCCUUCCGUGCCGCAGCUAACGCAUUAAGUCGUCCGCCUGGGGAGUACGGCCGCAAGGUUGAA
rnacentral:rRNA from 1 species